AUACUACAGGGUACUGUUAUAAUACUACAGGGUACUGUUAUAAUACUGCAGGGUACUGUUAUAAUACUACAGGGUUCUGUUAUAAUACUACUUACUGGGUGUCAUCAGACUAGUUAAACUGGUACCACUACAGGGUACUGUUAUAAUACUACUUACUGGGUACUGUUAUAAUACUACAGGGUACUGUUAUAAUACUACAAUGUGUCAUCAGACUAGCACCUGUUAAACUGGUACCACUACAGGGUACUGUUAUAAUACUACUUACUGGGUGUCAUCAGACUAGCACCUGUUAAACUGGUACCACUACAGGGUACUGUUAUAAUACUACAGGGUACUGGGUACUGUUAUAAUACUACAGGGUACUGUUAUAAUACUACAGGGUACUGUUAUAAUACUACAAGGUACUGUUAUAAUACUACUUACUGGGUGUCAUCAGACUAGCACCUGUUAAACUGGUACCACUACAGGGUACUGUUAUAAUACUACUUACUGGGUGUCAUCAGACUAGCACCUGUUAAACUGGUACCACUACAGGGUACUGAUAUAAUACUACAGGGUACUGGGUACUGUUAUAAUACUACAGGGUACUGUUAUAAUACUACAAGGUACUGUUAUAAUACUACUUACUGGGUGUCAUCAGACUAGCACCUGUUAAACUGGUACUACUAUAGGGUACUGUUAUAAUACUACAGGGUAUUGUUAUACUACUACAGGGUACUGUUAUAAUACUACAAGGUACUGUUAUAAUACUACAGGGUACUGUUAUAAUACUACAAGGUACUGUUAUAAUACUGCAGGGUACUGUUAUAACACUACAAGGUACUGUUAUAAUACUACAGGGUACUGUCAUAAUACUACAGGGUACUGUUAUAAUACUACAAUGUGUCAUCAGACCAGCACCUGUUAAACUGGUACCACUACAGGGUACUGUUAUAAUACUACAGGGUACUGUUAUAAUACUACAAGGUACUGUUAUAAUACUACAGGGUACUGUUAUAAUACUACAAUGUGUCAUCAGACUAGCACCUGUUAAACUGGUACCACUAUAGGGUACUGUUAUAAUACUACAGGGUACUGUUAUAAUACUACAGGGUACUGUUAUAAUACUACUGGGUGUCAUCAGACUAGCACCUGUUAAACUGGUACUACUAUAGGGUACUGUUAUAAUACUACAGGGUACUGUUAUAAUACUACAGGGUACUGUUAU